rnacentral:snRNA from 1 species
ACGACUCUCCAUUGAAUCUAUUCUUAUUAGUUUAAUAUCUGAUAUAUGGGUCAUGUGCCCACUGUGACAUUAAAUUUAUUUUUUGUGGGAGAGGGUCCAUCGCUAGUGGCUUGCCACUGGACCCUCGUGUGUCGCUUUGGCGCUGCACUCUAGUCUUGCCUUGCCUGGCGCACCCAAA